UACAGAGGUCUCAAGCGUUGUUCGGAUUCACUGGGCGUAAAGGGUGCGUAGGUGGUGAGGUAAGUCGGAUGUGAAAUCUCCGAGCUCAACUCGGAAACUGCAUUGGAAACUACCUUGCUCGAGGGUCGGAGGGGGGACUGGAAUGCUUGGUGUAGCAGUGAAAUGCGUAGAUAUCAAGCGGAACACCAGUGGCGAAGGCGAGUCCCUGGACAACUCCUGACACUGAUGCACGAAAGCUAGGGGAGCAAACAGG
rnacentral:rRNA from 1 species